UACAGAGGGUGCUAGCGUUGCUCGGAAUCACUGGGCGUAAAGCGCACGUAGGCGGCUUUUUUAAGUCAGGGGUGAAAUCCUGGAGCUCAACUCCAGAACUGCCUUUGAUACUGGGAAGCUUGAGUCCGGGAGAGGUGAGUGGAACUCCGAGUGUAGCGGUGAAAUGCGUAGAUAUUGGGAGGAACACCGGUGGCGAAGGCGGGUCUCUGGGCCGAUACUGACGCUGAGGAGCGAAAGCGUGGGGAGCGAACAGG
rnacentral:rRNA from 1 species